UCUUUCUUUUGCUGGCGACCGGCGCACGGGUGAGUAACACGUAUCCAACCUGCCCUUUACUCGGGGAUAGCCUUUCGAAAGAAAGAUUAAUACCCGAUAGCAUAAUGAUUCCGCAUGGUUUCAUUAUUAAAGGAUUCCGGUAAAGGAUGGGGAUGCGUUCCAUUAGGUUGUUGGUGAGGUAACGGCCCACCAAGCCUUCGAUGGAUAGGGGUUCUGAGAGGAAGGUCCCCCACAUUGGAACUGAGACACGGUCCAA
rnacentral:rRNA from 1 species